AUCAUAAUAGUAUAAGAAGUAUGUCUGAUUUCCAAUUAGAAGGUUAGGAAAAAUU
rnacentral:tRNA from 1 species